rnacentral:rRNA from 1 species
AUACGGAGGAUCCGAGCGUUAUCCGGAUUUAUUGGGUUUAAAGGGUGCGCAGGCGGCCAUUUAAGUCAGCGGUUAAAUCGUGGGGCUCAACCCCAUUCUGCCGUUGAUACUGGGUGGCUUGAUUGCGGUCGGGGUUGGCGGAAUUCGUUGUGUAGCGGUGAAAUGCAUAGAUAUGACGAAGAACACCGAUUGCGUAGGCAGCUGACCAGACCGCAAAUGACGCUCAUGCACGAAAGUGCGGGGAUCGAACAGGAUUAGAUACCCUGGUAGUCCGCACAGUAAACGAUGAAUACUUGUUUUCGGCGAUAUAAUGUCGGAGGCAAAGCGAAAGCGAUAAGUAUUCCACCUGGGGAGUACGCCGGCAACGGUGAAACUCAAAUGAAUUGGCGGGG